rnacentral:lncRNA from 1 species
UUGAAGGGAGAAAGUGAGGGAACGCUGAACUGAAUAUGGGUCAUGUGCCAGUUUCUGCAAUGGAAUUGGAUUUUGGAAGAAGGUCUGGGAUUUUCUUUGCCCUCCUGAGAGGGGAGCUGGGAGACACCAAGUUCCAUCCAAUCAGUCAGAUAAAAAAGUGUGAUACGAAAUUUGGCUUGUAGACGGACUUACUUAGUUCGUCACGGGUCAUCCGUUCUGACUGGAGGUCAAUUGCAAGUCUUUCAAGUCAUGGGUCACCCAGCACCUCAUAGUUAUGAUAUGGCCAAAUUAG